UAUACUCUACCUGUACAGGAAGUGGUUUGGGGUCAAAGGUAUACUCUACCUGUACAGGAAGUGGUUUGGGGUCAAAGGGUCUGAUAAUGAAGCAGAGGCAAGGUGAAUGUAGAGUAGAUUAUCUGUCCUAGUUCUAUACCCUACAAUGUCACCACAGGGUGAUAAAAAAAUUAAUAUAAAUGCUUAGUUUGUUUAUGUUUAACUUCACCUGGAUAUCGUUAAUGGCAGGAUUUGUGUAUAAUUAACGCAUCCACAGUGAAAAGAAAUGCAUAAGGCUGUGCUGUGUUUCAUCACUCAUUUAGUAACAAUUCAAUUUGACAUCAGCAAUGACAAUUCCACAGAUUAAUGACAAUUUACAUGACAAUUCCACAGAGUAAUGACAAUAGGCAAAAAACAAAAAAAACAAGAAAUAAACAAUACAAAUAA